AGUUGGAUCUGGAUGUCACCCAUUGGUCACCAGGGUUGAUUCGAUGAUCUGGCUGGAUAGUCAGAUGUCCCUUUCUCCCAUGCUUCUCUAUAUGCAACCCUCCUGAAGCUGAGCAUUGGUCGUAGGAGGCAACUUUCCCUGAUAGAGGAAGACCAGUAUUGUUUUCGGUCCAGGGUAGAUGAGUAACUGUACUCCCCAAACAAGCUCUCAAUAUCCAUAAUAUAUCGAGUAACUGUUAACAAAGUGACGGUUUGGCUCUGACU
ensembl:misc_RNA 7SK 7SK RNA